rfam:Heterocephalus glaber contig162314, whole genome shotgun sequence.
ACAAAGGCCCUUUUCAGGGCCGCCCAACUGCUCAAAAAGGGCUGUA